AUUGGUGCUUGCGUCAUGAUUUACAUUUGAGUGAGUGGCGAACUGGUGAGUAACACGUGGGAAACCUGCCCAGAAGCGGGGGAUAACACCUGGAAACAGAUGCUAAUACCGCAUAACUACUUGGACCGCAUGGUCCGAGUUUGAAAGAUGGCUUCGGCUAUCACUUCUGGAUGGUCCCGCGGCGUAUUAGCUAGAUGGUGAGGUAACGGCUCACCAUGGCAAUGAUAGGUAGCCGACCUGAGAGGGUAAUCGGCCACAUUGGGACUGAGACACGGCCCAAACUCCUACGGGAGGCAGCAGUAGGGAAUCUUCCACAAUGGACGAAAGUCUGAUGGAGCAACGCCGCGUGAGUGAAGAAGGGUUUCGGCUCGUAAAACUCUGUUGUUAAAGAAGAACAUAUCUGAGAGUAACUGUUCAGGUAUUGACGGUAUUUAACCAGAAAGCCACGGCUAACUACGUGCCAGCAGCCGCGGUAAUACGUAGGUGGCAAGCGUUGUCCGGAUUUAUUGGGCGUAAAGCGAGCGCAGGCGGUUUUUUAGUCUGAUGUGAAAGCCUUCGGCUCACCGAAGAAGUGCAUCGAGAAACUGGGAAACUUGAGUGCAGAAGAGGACAGUGGAACUCCAUGUGUAGCGGUGAAAUGCGUAGAUAUAUGGAAGAACACCAGUGGCGAAGGCGGCUGUCUGGUCUGUAACUGACGCUGAGGCUCGAAAGUAUGGGUAGCAAACAGGAUUAAAUACCCUGGUAGUCCAUACCGUACACGAUGAAUGACUAGUGUUGGAGGGUUUCCGCCCUUCUGUGCUGCAGCUAAGCGCAUAAGCAUUCCGCCGUGAGGAGUACCGGCGCGAAGCUG
rnacentral:rRNA from 1 species